rnacentral:tRNA from 1 species
AUAAAGUAAGCUAAUUUAAAGCUAGUGGGUUCAUACCCCAAACAUGAUCAUUCCUUUAUAA